UUGAACGCUGGCGGCAGGCCUAACACAUGCAAGUCGAGCGGAUGAAGGGAGCUUGCUCCUGGAUUCAGCGGCGGACGGGUGAGUAAUGCCUAGGAAUCUGCCUGGUAGUGGGGGAUAACGUCCGGAAACGGGCGCUAAUACCGCAUACGUCCUGAGGGAGAAAGUGGGGGAUCUUCGGACCUCACGCUAUCAGAUGAGCCUAGGUCGGAUUAGCUAGUUGGUGGGGUAAAGGCCUACCAAGGCGACGAUCCGUAACUGGUCUGAGAGGAUGAUCAGUCACACUGGAACUGAGACACGGCCCAGACUCCUACGGGAGGCAGCAGUGGGGAAUAUUGGACAAUGGGCGAAAGCCUGAUCCAGCCAUGCCGCGUGUGUGAAGAAGGUCUUCGGAUUGUAAAGCACUUUAAGUUGGGAAGAAGGGCAGUAAGUUAAUACCUUGCUGUUUUGACGUUACCAACAGAAUAAGCACCGGCUAACUUCGUG
rnacentral:rRNA from 1 species